rnacentral:rRNA from 1 species
UAGGAAUCUGCCUAUUAGUGGGGGACAACAUUCCGAAAGGAAUGCUAAUACCGCAUACGUCCUACGGGAGAAAGCAGGGGACCUUCGGGCCUUGCGCUAAUAGAUGAGCCUAAGUCGGAUUAGCUAGUUGGUGGGGUAAAGGCCUACCAAGGCGACGAUCUGUAGCGGGUCUGAGAGGAUGAUCCGCCACACUGGGACUGAGACACGGCCCAGACUCCUACGGGAGGCAGCAGUGGGGAAUAUUGGACAAUGGGGGGAACCCUGAUCCAGCCAUGCCGCGUGUGUGAAGAAGGCCUUAUGGUUGUAAAGCACUUUAAGCGAGGAGGAUUCUACUAGUAUUAAUACUACUGGAUAGUGGACGUUACUCGCAGAAUAAGCACCGGCUAACUCUGUGCCAGCAGCCGCGGUAAUACAGAGGGUGCGAGCGUUAAUCGGAUUUACUGGGCGUAAAGCGUGCGUAGGCGGCCAUUUAAGUCAAAUGUGAAAUCCCCGAGCUUAACUUGGGAAUUGCAUUCGAUACUGGAUGGCUAGAGUAUGGGAGAGGAUGGUAGAAUUCCAGGUGUAGCGGUGAAAUGCGUAGAGAUCUGGAGGAAUACCGAUGGCGAAAGCAGCCAUCUGGCCUAAUACUGACGCUGAGGUACGAAAGCAUGGGGAGCAAACAGGAUUAGAUACCCUGGUAGUCCAUGCCGUAAACGAUGUCUACUAGCCGUUGGGGCCUUUGAGGCUUUAGUGGCCGCAGCUAACGCGAUAGUAGACCGCCUGGGAGUACGGGUCGCAGACUAAAACU